AUUCCAGCUCCAGUAGCGUAUAUUAAUGUUGUUGCAGUUAAAAAGCUCGUAGUUGGAUUUCUGACUUGACGCGCCUGGCCCGCCUUGCAUUUCGCGGGUGAGUGCCGGAGCGCGUCGGUCAUCCUUCUAGAGAACGGCGCUACCCUUCACUGGGUCGGCGUCGCAAUCUAGAUCUUUUACUUUGAAAAAAUUAGAGUGUUCAAGGCAGGCUCGCGCUGUGAAUACAUUAGCAUGGAAUAAUAAUCUAGGACUUUGUUCCUAUUUUGUUGGUUUCUAGGAAUUAAGUAAUGAUUGAUAGGGAUAGUUGGGGGUGCUAGUAUUCAGCGGCCAGAGGUGAAAUUCUUGGAUUCGCUGAAGACUAACUUAUGCGAAAGCAUUCACCAAGGAUGUCUUCAUCG
rnacentral:rRNA from 1 species